rnacentral:rRNA from 1 species
CCUACGGGUGGCAGCAGUGAGGAAUAUUGGGCAAUGGGCGUAAGCCUGAACCAGCCAAGUCGCGUGAGGGAUGAAGGUUCUAUGGAUCGUAAACCUCUUUUAUAAGGGAAUAAAGUGUGGGACGUGUCCUAUUUUGUAUGUACCUUAUGAAUAAGGAUCGGCUAACUCCGUGCCAGCAGCCGCGGUAAUACGGAGGAUCCGAGCGUUAUCCGGAUUUAUUGGGUUUAAAGGGUACGUAGGCGGCCUUGUAAGUCUACGGUUAAAGUCUGUGGCUCAACCAUAGAAUGGCCGUUGAAACUGGGGGGCUUGAGUAUGUUUGAGGCAGGCGGAAUGCGUGGUGUAGCGGGGAAAUGCUUAGAUAUAAGGCAGAACCCCGAUGGCGAAGGCAGCCUGCCAAGCCAUGACUGACGCUGAUGCACGAAAGCGUGGGGAUCAAACAGGAUUAGAUACCCGAGUAGUC